GCUAGCGUUGCUCGGAAUUACUGGGCGUAAAGCGCACGUAGGCGGAUUGUUAAGUCGGGGGUGAAAUCCUGGAGCUCAACUCCAGAACUGCCUUCGAUACUGGCGAUCUCGAGUUCGGGAGAGGUGAGUGGAACUGCGAGUGUAGAGGUGAAAUUCGUAGAUAUUCGCAAGAACACCAGUGGCGAAGGCGGCUCACUGGCCCGAUACUGACGCUGAGGUGCGAAAGCGUGGGGAGCAAACAGG
rnacentral:rRNA from 1 species